GACCAGCAGAACCUCCAGGACCAGCAGAACCUGCAGAACCUGCAGGACCUGUGACUGAUGACUUUUGCUUCACCAAUAAGAUGUUCUUUUCCCUUUUAUCAGAAGCAGAAAAUAUUUGCAUUCAUCCUUUAUAAACGGUUUUGUGGCAUAAAAUAUAAACUUUCUUUGGGGGUCACAAACCUCCAGCAGAGUCUGGACCUGAAACCAAGUCCUAGUCCCAGACCUGAGUGUCUGACCGUGGAGGACCUCGGUCCACAGAGGAGUUUGAGUCCUGAACAGUUCAGCAACUGAUCUGAGGAUCCAAAGAGCCUUCAAGGCGGUUCUGACAGGGGAGCAGCUGGGAUCAUGGUACCACAGAACAAACUGGAGGUUCUGGUGUCUUCACUGGGGGGCUGCGUUUCCAGCCUGAUAACAGAACCUUUGGUUAUUCCUGCACAGGUUCUCCAUCUAACAGUUCCCGUCCUCCUGCAUCCACAUCAGCUUCCCCCGCUGCCAUCCUCCCUCCCUCCUCUAGACCAGAGUUUCCAGACCCGGGUCCUCGGGGAACCUGUCCUGCCUUAGAUGGCUGCAGAGUGGAACUUCUAAGGAGGUUUUUCAGUCCUUCUCCUGAUCAAAAGCAUCAACGGUGAAUCGAUCCGGAACGAGGAUCGUCUACAGCAUCCGAAGAUCCAGGAGAGCAGCAGGCAGCUCCAUCAUCCGAACCACAUGACCUGUGAUGGCGUCAAGGUCAGAACCAAACGCCCAGAUGUGAAAACGUUUGACCUCGGUCAGAGGCUAGCCAAGACCAACUUUAGCUUCAGGAUCAGUUUUUAUUUUUGAACUUUUCGGGAGAAAUUUUGAGUAAUAAAAUAUUCCUGUCCUCCUCC